GAUGAACGCUGGCGGCGUGCCUAAUACAUGCAAGUCGAGCGAAUGGAUUAAGAGCUUGCUCUUAUGAAGUUAGCGGCGGACGGGUGAGUAACACGUGAGUAACCUGCCCUUGACUCUGGGAUAACUGCUAGAAAUGGUAGCUAAUACCGGAUACGACCCUCGGAGGCAUCUCCAGGGGGUGGAAAGAAUUUCGGUCAAGGAUGGACUCGCGGCCUAUCAGCUAGUUGGUGAGGUAACGGCUAACCAAGGCGACGACGGGUAGCCGGCCUGAGGGGGUGACCGGCAACACGGGGACUGAGACACGGACCAGACUCCUGCGGGGGGCAGCAGUGGGGGAUAUUGCACAGUGGGCGCAAGCCUGAGGCAGCAACGCCGCGGGAGGGAUGACGGCCUUCGGGUUGUAAACCUCUUUUAGUAGGGAAGAAGCGAAAGUGGCGGUACCCGCAGAAAAAGCACCGGCUAACUACGUGCCAGCCGCCGCCGGAA
rnacentral:rRNA from 1 species